UAGAAUCAAUGAGAUUAGCUAGAACAAUAACCAGAAGAACGAAGAGGGAGAGAGAUAACAUGAAAUAAAAUCUUAACAAAGAAAGUCUUAAUUUCUCAUUAUUUAUCUUCUUUGUUUGUAGUUACUAGCUUGUAUAUAAAUAUUAAUUAGGACUAAUAAGAAAAAUUAUAAAAAGGAAAUAUAAAAGACUGUAACUCCUAUAAUAUUUAGAAAAUUUAACUUACAAGGCAUUUAAAAUAUUAUAAUAUCUAAAUAAACUUAAAUAAAUUCAA
rnacentral:lncRNA from 1 species